rnacentral:rRNA from 1 species
ACGUGCCCUAAGGUCAGGGAUAGCUCGGGGAAACUCGAGGUAAUACCUGUGAUCCAUUCGGACCGCAUGGUUUGAAUGGCAAAGUUUCUGGCGCCUUGGGAUCGGGGAACGUCCUAUCAGGUAGUUGGUGAGGUAAUGGCUCACCAAGCUUAGACGGGUAGCGGGUGUGAGAGCACGGCCCGCCGCAUCGGGACUGAGACACUGCCCGGACUCCUACGGGAGGCUGCAGCAACGAAUAUUCCGCAAUGGGCGCAAGCCUGACGGAGCGAUGCCGCGUGAAGGAUGAAGCCCUUCGGGGUGUAAACUUCUGUCAGGGUUUAGCAACGCAAUGAGCAUACCCAAAGGAAGAGACGGCUAACUCUGUGCCAGCAGCCGCAGUAAUACAGAGGUCUCGAGCGUUAAUCGGAAUCACUGGGCUUAAAGGGUGCGUAGGCGGACCUGAAAGUACUUUGUAAAAUCCCACGGCUCAACCGUGGAACUGCUUGGUAAACUACAGGUCUUGAGGUCGGUAGGGGCUGCCGGAACUCUAGGUGGAGCGGUGAAAUGCGUAGAUAUCUAGAGGAACGCCAAAGGUGAAGACAGGCAGCUGGGCCGAUUCUGACGCUGAGGCACGAAAGCGUGGGGAGCGAACGGGAUUAGAUACCCCGGUAGUCCACGCCCUAAACGAUGUACACUGGAUCCGGGAGGCUCUGACGCCAUCCGGGUCGUAGCUAAAGCAUUAAGUGUACCGCCUGGGGAGUACGGUCGCAAGGCUAAAACUCAAAGGAAUUGACGGGGGCUCACACAAGCGGUGGAACAUGUGGCUUAAUUCGAAGCAACGCGAAGAACCUUAUCCAAGACUUGACAUGCUGGGAUUAGGCUCUGGAAACAGAGCUGACGCCCUCACGGGUGGAACCAGCACAGGUGCUGCAUGGCUGUCGUCAGCUCGUGCUGUGAAGUGUCGCGUUAAGUCGCUUAACGAGCGAAACCCCUGUCGCUAGUUGCCAUCAGGUUAUGCUGGGUACUCUAGCGAGACUGCCGGUGUCAAACCGGAGGAAGGUGGGGAUGACGUCAAGUCCUCAUGGCCUUUAUGUCUUGGGCUGCACACGUGUUACAAUGGCGCGCACAAAGCGACGCGAUGCCGCGAGGCGGAGCAAAUCGCAAAAAACGCGCCCCAGUUCAGAUUGCAGUCUGCAACUCGACUGCAUGAAGUCGGAAUCGCUAGUAAUCGGAGAU